rnacentral:lncRNA from 1 species
ACCCCCAAAAUAUGAAUAUCAGUAAAAUUGAAUAUGUUAAUAAGAUAUAUGGAAAUAAAAGAUGCAAGAACGAAGAAAAACAGUUAAUGAAUAUUACUGCUAAGUAUUUAACAAUUACAUAAAUUAAUGGAUACAUCUUACGAUAAGAAUAAAUCAUUAAAAAAAAGCGAAAAUAAACUAUAUAGUUUAUACUUAGAAUACAAAAGAUUAUAUAAUACUA